GGAUUAGAUACCCUGGUAGUCCAUGCCGUAAACGUUGGGCACUAGGUGUGGGGGACAUUCCACGUUUUCCGCGCCGUAGCUAACGCAUUAAGUGCCCCGCCUGGGGAGUACGGCCGCAAGGCUAAAACUCAAAGAAAUUGACGGGGGCCCGCACAAGCGGCGGAGCAUGCGGAUUAAUUCGAUGCAACGCGAAGAACCUUACCAAGGCUUGACAUGGAUUAGAAAAGUGCAGAAAUGUACUCCCCCUUUUGGGCUGGUUCACAGGUGGUGCAUGGUUGUCGUCAGCUCGUGCCG
rnacentral:rRNA from 1 species